rnacentral:rRNA from 1 species
CAUGCCUAACACAUGCAAGUCGAACGAGACCUUCGGGUCUAGUGGCGCACGGGUGCGUAACACGUGGGAAUUUGCCUCGGGGUAUGGAAUAACUCAGGGAAACUUGAGCUAAUACCAUAUAAUGUCUUCGGACCAAAGAUUUAUCGCCCUGAGAUAAGCCCGCGUAGGAUUAGCUAGUUGGUGGGGUAAAGGCUCACCAAGCCGACGAUCUGUAGCUGGUCUGAGAGGACGACCAGCCACACUGGGACUGAGACACGGCCCAGACUCCUACGGGAGGCAGCAGUGGGGAAUUUUGGACAAUGGGCGCAAGCCUGAUCCAGCAAUGCCGCGUGAGUGAUGAAGGCCUUAGGGUUGUAAAGCUCUUUUACCCGGGAUGAUAAUGACAGUACCGGGAGAAUAAGCUCCGGCUAACUCCGUG